UUUAAAUGGCCGCAGUAUUUUAACUGUGCAAAGGUAGCAUAAUCAUUAGUCCUUUAAUUGAAGGCUGGUAUGAAUGGUUGGACGAGGUAUUAACUGUUUCAUAUAAAUUUAUAUUAGAAUUUUAUUUUUUAGUCAAAAAGCUACAAUUAAUUUAAAAGACGAGAAGACCCUAUAAAUCUUUAUAUUAUAUAAUUUAUAAUUUUAUAGAUUAUGUUUAUUAUAAAUUUAAAUAAUAUUUUAUUGGGGUGAUAUUAAAAUUUAAUAAACUUUUAAUUUUUAAAUUCAUUAAUUAAUGAUUUAUUGAUCCGUUAUUAACGAUUAAAAAUUUAAGUUACUUUAGGGAUAACAGCGUAAUUUUUUUGGAGAGUUCUUAUCGAUAAAAAAGAUUGCGACCUCGAUGUUGGAUUAAGAUAUAAUUUAGGUG
rnacentral:rRNA from 1 species